rnacentral:rRNA from 1 species
AUGGCGGAGCUGUGCGAUCUUCCUGCUGCUGUUGUAGCGUCAUCCGAGGAAAGUUCAUAUGUGAUCAAGAUAGACGGAUACUCAAGAAUCAAAGGGCAAAUUCAGCAUGGCAACUACGUGAAAUCUACCCCUUUCACUGUUGGAGGUAACGACUGGGUUGUGGAGUACUACCCAAACGGCUCCGACACCGAAAAGUAUGAAGCCGGCAUAUCCGUUUUUCUAGCUCUUGCCCCCGCUGGUUCCAAGGAUGUGAAGGCCAAAUUUAGAUUCAGUCUGCUUGACAGGGAAGGCGAACCGGUGGCAUCGAAAAGCAAGAACACGUCCGAACACAUCUUCAAUAGCAAACGUUCAAGCAGGGGUUUUAGUAGUUUUAUCAAGAAGGCUGAUCUUGAGGGAGCGGCGUAUCUAAAGCACGACAGUUUCAGCAUCAGGUGUGAUGUUACCGUCGUGAAGUAUAUCCAUAGAGGUAAUCGGGUUAUUGCGAUUCCUCCAAGCAACUUGCAUCAGCAUCUCGGUGACCUCCUCCUAGAGAGCAAAGAUGGAGCGGACGUGACCUUUCAUGUCGGCGAGGUGAGUUUCUUGGCUCAUAGGUCCAUACUCGCCGCUCGGUCAUCCAUCUUUAGAGCGGAGCUCUUUGGCGCCAUGAAGGAGAAAGGCGGUAGUCCAAUUGAAAUCAGUGAUAUGGAAAGUGAUGUAUUCAAAUCAUUGCUCCACUUCAUAUACACCGACUCACUGCCCGUUCCUGAGACAAGUAGUGGGGGUGAAACACGGAGAGACGCGGUGAUGGCUAGCCAUCUACUUGUUGCAGCUGACAGGUACAACAUUGAGAGACUGAAGCUGAUAUGUGAAGAGAAGUUGUGCAACCUCAUCGACUCCAAUAUCGUGGCGACCACUUUGGCUCUAGCUGAGCAGCACGGCUCUUAUAGAGUCAAAGAUGCUUGCUUUGAGUUCCUUGUUUCUCCUUCCAAUUUGGAGGCGAUGAUGGCAAGUGAUGGUUACAAGCAUCUGAAGAAUAGCUUCCCGUCUGUUCUCAGAGAGCUGGCUGCUAGCUUCCUGCCGGCCGAGCUGAAAGCGGUCAAAGAUAUUAUCAUGACAAUUUAG